UACGUAGGGUGCGAGCGUUGUCCGGAAUUAUUGGGCGUAAAGGGCUCGUAGGCGGUUUGUCGCGUCGGGAGUGAAAUCCACUGGCUUAACUGGUGGCUUGCUUUCGAUACGGGCAGACUGGAGGUAUGCAGGGGAGAACGGAAUUCCUGGUGUAGCGGUGAAAUGCGCAGAUAUCAGGAGGAACACCGGUGGCGAAGGCGACUUCCUGGCCUGUUCUUGACGCUGAGGCGCGAAAGCUAGGGGAGCAAACGGG
rnacentral:rRNA from 1 species